GUGCCAGCAGCCGCGGUAAUACGUAGGGUGCAAGCGUUGUCCGGAAUUAUUGGGCGUAAAGAGCUCGUAGGCGGUCUGUCGCGUCGGCUGUGAAAACUCGGGGCUCAACCCCGAGCCUGCAGUCGAUACGGGCAGACUAGAGUGCUGUAGGGGAGACUGGAAUUCCUGGUGUAGCGGUGAAAUGCGCAGAUAUCAGGAGGAACACCGGUGGCGAAGGCGGGUCUCUGGGCAGUAACUGACGCUGAGGAGCGAAAGCGUGGGGAGCGAACAGGAUUAGAUACCCUGGUAGUCC
rnacentral:rRNA from 1 species